rnacentral:rRNA from 1 species
UCCGUAGGCGGGCGACUAAGUCAGAUGUGAAAUCCCACAGCUUAACUGUGGAACUGCCUUUGAUACUGGUUGUCUUGAGUUAUAGUGAAGUAGAUAGAAUAUGUAGUGUAGCGGUGAAAUGCUUAGAUAUUACAUAGAAUACCGAUUGCGAAGGCAGUCUACUAACUAUAUACUGACGCUAAUGGACGAAAGCGUGGGGAGCGAACAGGAUUAGAUACCCUGGUAGUC